rnacentral:ncRNA from 2 species
AGCAGCCGCGGUAAUUCCAGCUCCAAUAGCGUAUAUUAAAGUUGCUGCAGUUAAAAAGCUCGUAGUUGAAUUUCGGGAUCAAUAUGUUGGUCGUGCCUCGGUACGUACUAGCUUAUUGGUUUCUCCCUUCUGACGAACCAUGAUGUCAUUUAUUUGGUGUUAUGGGAAAUCAGGACUGUUACUUUGAAAAAAUUAGAGUGUUUAAAGCAGGCUCACGCUUGAAUACAUUAGCAUGGAAUAAUGAAAUAGGACGUUUGAUUCUAUUUUGUUGGUUUCUAGGAUCGACGUAAUGAUUAAUAGGGAUAGUUGGGGGCAUUAGUAUUCAAUUGUCAGAGGUGAAAUUCUUGGAUUUAUUGAAGACUAACUACUGCGAAAGCAUUUGCCAAGGAUGUUUUCAUUAAUCAAGAACGAAAGUUAGGGGAUCGAAGACGAUCAGAUACCGUCGUAGUCUUAACCAUAAACUAUGCCGACUAGGGAUCGGAUGAUGUUAAUUUUUUAAUGACUCAUUCGGCGCCUUACG